AACGAACGCUGGCGGCAUGCCUAAUGCAUGCAAGUCGAACGAGACCUUCGGGUCUAGUGGCGCACGGGUGCGUAACGCGUGGGAAUCUGCCCUUGGGUUCGGAAUAACGUCGGGAAACUGACGCUAAUACCGGAUGAUGACGAAAGUCCAAAGAUUUAUCGCCCAGGGAUGAGCCCGCGUAGGAUUAGCUAGUUGGUGAG
rnacentral:rRNA from 1 species